UACGUAGGGUGCGAGCGUUAAUCGGAAUUACUGGGCGUAAAGUGCGCGCAGGCGGCCGAGCAUGUCGAGUGUGAAAGCCCCGGGCUUAACCUGGGAACUGCGCUCGAAACUACUUGGCUGGAGUGUGGCAGAGGAAGGUGGAAUUCCACGUGUAGCGGUGAAAUGCGUAGAGAUGUGGAGGAACACCGAUGGCGAAGGCAGCCUUCUGGGCCAACACUGACGCUCAUGCACGAAAGCGUGGGGAGCAAACAGG
rnacentral:rRNA from 1 species